rnacentral:rRNA from 1 species
GGGCGUAAGCGCAUGUAGGCGGCCAAAUAAGUCAGGUGUGAAAGCCCUGGGCUCAACCCAGGAAGUGCACUUGAUACUGCUUGGCUUGAAUAUGGGAGAGGAUAGUGGAAUUCCUGGUGUAGUGGUGAAAUACGUAGAUAUCAGGAGGAACACCGGUGGCGAAGGCGGCUAUCUGGCCCAAUAUUGACGCUGAGAUGCGAAAGCGUGGGGAUCAAACAGGAUUAGAUACCCUGGUAGUCCACGCCGUAAACGAUGGAUACUUGGUGUUGGAGGUAUUGACCCCUUCAGUGCCGAAGCAAACGCGUUAAGUAUCCCGCCUGGGGAGUACGGCCGCAAGGUUAAAACUCAAAGAAAUUGACGGGGGCCCGCACAAGCGGUGGAGCAUGUGGUUUAAUUCGAUGCAACGCGAAAAACCUUACCUGGGUUUGAAAUCAAGUGGAAUACGGCAGAGAUGUCGUAGCCUUCGGGCCGCUUGACAGGUGCUGCAUGGCUGUCGUCAGCUCGUGUCGUGAGAUGUUGGGUUAAGUCCCGCAACGAGCGCAACCCUUGUCUUUAGUUGCCAGCAUUUAGUUGGGCACUCUAAAGAGACUGCCGACGUUAAGUCGGAGGAAGGUGGGGAUGACGUCAA